AUAAAGGAGUAAGAGAUAUUUCAAGAUAAUUGAGAAGAAGUCCUUUCCAUAAUUGAAAAAACCUCCCUCUAGCACACUCUUAGGCAAGACUUUUGAUCAUUUAAAUUUCCAGACCUUGCAAAAAAUCACUGUGUUUUCAAGCCUUUCUCCUUGAAUGCUAUCCUAGAUUUGACAGUUAGUAAGCCAUCUUGUCUGGUUAAAAUCCAUGUGGGCAAUCCAUAGUUACUUUACCACUCCAAAUAUAGCAAUAUGGAAGAAUCAGUCAUUUAAUCUUUUACUUGAUAGAGUAGCUAAGAUUUUACAAUAAUAGUUAAUAAAAUGAUGAAGUUUGGUCCUUUUUCCUUUACGUGAGCUUGAGUUUGGUUGCUAAUUUCAAUUUAUUUGUUAUUAAGCAAAUUCGUUUGCCUUCUCAUCUCUACUACAAUUGUGUUCAUGUGUAAUACUUUGAACCUCUUAUCAACUUAUGGUUUUGUUUUCUUAUCUUGCAGGUAGCUUUUGAGGAUGCUUGAGACUCUCCACAACAAUAUUGAGGUUUGUUAUGGGAAAACUUUAAAAAAAAAAAAAUGGAAGUGCAGGCUGAAAUAUCCAUGCACAUCUGAGAGUUCCCUCCUCAUCAAAGGCAAUAGAUUCUAUGUGCAAUCUGUAAGAAAGGAUUUGAAGUGAUUUGAAUGUCUGGUGUGCGAUGAUUUGGAAAGUUAGAUGGAUUCCAUGCUGAUGCUAAAGUUUGCUCCCUUAUUGAUGAAAGCACUGAUGUCUGGAAUGCAAUGAAGCUCUCAUCACAUAGUGCUUUUUGGAUUUUGAAGCAGAGUUGACAUGUAAAAUCCCUUUUUCCCCAUGGCUUGUUAAUGACAAACUGGUUUGGCACUUUACUAAAAAUGGCCUUCUUUUUUCUGUUAAUCGGCAUAUCAUUUGGAGAUGGAUUUGCAAAGAAGAGAAACAUGGGUCAGUUCUUCAGAUGGGGCGAGUUUUGAAAGGGCAUUUUGGAAGAAGAUUUGGCUGCUGAAAGUUCUGAAUAAAGUGAAAAUCUUUGAAUGAAAAUCUGUUCGAAUAUCCUCCCUGUUUAGUGAAACUUGAAUAGAGUUGCCUCUAAACAAGAUACAUCUCCAUUACUUAGUGGUGGACAUUGAUCACAUCGACGACUACGAUUGGGGUGGCGCUGCUCUAGUCACCCUCUAUAGAGACGCUAGUGUUGUCAUGUGCAACUGAGAGAUGACCAUUGAAGGCCAUUAGAAACGAUGGAAGAUAUAGAGCUUUGAGUAUUUCAGGGGCAAAUGCCCCUGACACUCAGGAGAUGGACUAGCACGUUGUCCUUUGGUCUCGACAAUACUUUUGUUAGCAUUGCCGCCAGGCCCCAGGGUUGUCGAGCUUUUACAAGUUUAGAUAGUAUUACAACAUAGUGACCCUCAAUCAGACAAUUGGGUUGAUCCCUCUUCAAUCAUGUACUCUGUUGCUUUCAUUCAUUAUUCUAUGAGAUUUCUAAACGUCAUACUUGUCUUGUUUGUGACUUGGGCAUUGUGGGCAGGUGUGGCAUCGAAUACCGUGAUGUGCUUCAUCGCAGUGCUCGACAUCACUCUGGUGAGUUGGAGAGGAUUUUGCUAGAGGGCCCGUUCUAUUGAGUUUGGUAUUCGGCAAGCGGGGGAUGCUGCUAGUCUAUGGGGAUGGCCGCCCCCAGAGUGCCUGCCGUUGUACCAGAUUGCAUGUGGACUACUAACACCUUCACUCCAGAGGAUAUCAUACCAACCAUAGAGGUCAUCAAUGUAGAGUUCUUCUAUGGCGUGGCAUCUAAUUCCUUCAUGACCACAACUUCCUGACUAAGUGAAGGCAGAGAAGCAUAUAUGGCACAAUACAACCCAUCCGUCCCCAAUAUUGUGAUCAAUUCAUUGCACAUGCACCUUGUGUGAGAUAAGAGUGUGUUUGUGUGUGACUACUUCCCUUUUUUUAUGAAAAAUGCUAAGAACCCACCCUUACGGACCCCCGAAUUUACCUCGAAUGUGUUUGUGUAGUAGAGAUUGAAUUGAUAAAGUGUGGGGUCUACAUAUGAAAUGAAUAUAGGAGACAAAGUUACUAUUUCAUCUGACCAAUUAUUUUAUUUUUUUAUUUAUUUUGCCAUAAUUUCAAUUUUACAAGU